ACACCUGUGAGAAUGCCCUAAAACCUCCUUAUAGGAGAAAAGGAGCAGGCAUCAGGCACGCCCUGAAAAGCAGCCCAUAACGCCUUGUUCAACCACACCCCCAAGGGUCCGCAGCAGUAAUAAAUAUUAAGCAAUAAGUGAAAACUUGACUUAAUUAGGGCUUAAAGGGCCGGUAAAACUCGUGCCAGCCACCGCGGUUAUACGAGAGGCCCAAGCUGACAGCUAUUCGGCGUAAAGAGUGGUUAAAAUAAUUUUAGAUUAAAGUCAAACUCCCCCCUAACUGUUGUACGUAUUGGGAGGUAAGAAGUCCUUGUACGAAAGUAACUUUAACAAAUUGAUUCCACGAAAGCUAAGACACAAACUGGGAUUAGAUACCCCACUAUGCUUAGCCAUAAACUGCCUUACUCCAUUACAAGAGUACACGCCCGGGUAUUACGAGCAUAAGCUUAAAACCCAAAGGACUUGGCGGUGCUUAACAACCACCUAGAGGAGCCUGUUCUAGAACCGAUACCCCUCGUUAAACCUCACCCCUUCUUGCCUUUCCCGUCUAUAUACCGCCGUCGUCAGCUCACCCUGUGAAGGUUCUACAGUAAGCACAAUUAGAGUAUCUUAAAACGUCAGGUCGAGGUGUAGCAUAUGAAGGGGGAAGAAAUGGGCUACAUUUCCUGAUUUUCAGGAUACACGGAAUGUAUGUUGAAACACAUAUUAUGAAGGUGGAUUUAGAAGUAAAUAGAAACCAGUGAGUUCUGUUGAAGCCGGCCCUUAAGCGCGCACACACCGCCCGUCACUCCCCUCUCACCAACACUAAUACCUUUAACUAAAGCAAUAUCUGGACAUAGAGGAGACAAGUCGUAACAUGGUAAGUGUACCGGAAGGUGCACUUGGAAAAACAU
rnacentral:ncRNA from 1 species